rnacentral:rRNA from 1 species
GACAGAGGGUGCAAACGUUGCUCGGAAUCACUGGGCGUAAAGGGCGUGUAGGCGGGGAGGUAAGUCGGGCGUGAAAUCCCUAGGCUCAACCUAGGAACUGCACUCGAAACUACCUUCCUUGAGUGUCGGAGAGGAAAGCGGAAUUCCUGGUGUAGAGGUGAAAUUCGUAGAUAUCAGGAGGAACACCAGUGGCGAAGGCGGCUUCUGGACGAUAACUGACGCUGAGACGCGAAAGCGUGGGGAGCAAACAGG